UGGCGGCGGCGGGCGGACGCGACGGGCUGCGCCUCCGCCGCCGCCCCCCGGGUGCCUGGGCCGGGGAUGGGGAACGUGGAGAGCGCGGACGGGGAGGCGCUGCCCCGGGGCCCGGGCGCGGCGGCCGCCGCCCCGGCGGGGCCCGGGCUGCUCGCCGCGGGCAAGAUGCCGAUGCCGGAGCCGUGCGAGCUGGAGGAGCGCUUCGCCCUGGUGCUGAGCUCCAUGAACCUGCCGCCGGACAAGGCCCGGCUCCUGCGCCAGUACGACAACGAGAAGAAGUGGGACCUCAUCUGCGACCAGGAGCGGUUCCAGGUGAAGAGCCCCCCCCACACCUACAUCCAAAAGCUGCAGAGCUUCCUGGAGCCCGGCGUCACGCGGAAGAAGUUCAGGAGGAGGGUGCAGGAGUCGACCAAGGUGCUGCGCGAGCUGGAGAUCAGUCUGCGGACGAACCACAUCGGGUGGGUGCGCGAGUUCCUCAACGCCGAGAACAAGGGCCUGGACGUGCUGGUGAGCUACCUGUCCUUCGCCCAGUGCGCCGUCACGUUUGAUGUUGAGGGCCUGGAAGGCGGCGAGGACGGCGCGCUAGAGAAGCUGCGAGCCUGGAGCAGGUCCAUAGAGGAUCUGCAGCACCUCAGCGCCCUGCCCGCGCCCUUCGCCAGCAGCCUGGCCCGCUCGGCCCGCCAGAGCGCCCUCCGCUACGGCACGCUGCCCAGCCGCAAGGCGCUCCGCAACGCCCGCCUCGUGAGCCAGAAGGACGACGUGCACCUCUGCAUCAUGUGCCUGCGCGCCAUCAUGAACUACCAGUACGGCUUCAACCUGGUCAUGUCGCACCCGCACGCCGUCAACGAGAUCGCCCUGAGCCUCAACAACAAGAACCCCAGGACCAAGGCGCUGGUGCUGGAGCUGCUGGCGGCUGUGUGCCUGGUGCGGGGGGGCCACGAGAUCAUCCUCGCCGCCUUCGACAACUUCAAGGAGGUCUGCCAGGAGAAGCACCGCUUCGAGCGGCUCAUGGAGUAUUUCCGAAACGAGGACAGCAGCAUCGACUUCAUGGUCGCCUGCAUGCAGUUCAUCAACAUCGUGGUGCACUCCGUGGAGGACAUGAACUUCCGCGUGCACCUGCAGUACGAGUUCACCAAGCUGGGGCUCGAGGACUUCCUGCAGCGGUCGAGGCACACGGAGAGCGAGAAGCUGCAGGUGCAGAUCCAGGCCUACCUGGACAACGUCUUCGACGUGGGCGGGCUGCUGGAGGACGCCGAGACCAAGAACGUGGCCCUGGAGAAGGUGGAGGAGCUGGAGGAGCAUCUGUCGCACCUGACGGAGAAGCUGCUGGACCUGGAGAACGAGAACAUGAUGCGGGUGGCGGAGCUGGAGAAGCAGCUGCUGCAGCGGGAGAAGGAGCUGGAGCUGGUGAAGGAGACCUGCGAGCACGCGAGCCGCCAGGUGCACACGCUGCGCCGGGCGAUGCGGGAGAAGGACGAGGCUUUCCGGCGGGGCCGCGGCGCCGAGCCGCCCGCCGCCCCCGGCGCCGAGCCGCUGCCCGAGGCCGAGGCCCUGGACGAGGACGUGCGGCUGCCCGCGCCGCCCGCCGCCGAGGCGGCUGCGCCCCCGCCGCCCCCGCCGCCGCCGCCGCCGCCGCCGCCCCCCGCGCCCCCGCUGCCCGGCAAGUGCCCGCCGGCCCCACCGCUGCCCGGGGCUUCGCCCUCCAUCGCCCUCACCGUGGGGCUCUCGGCCAUCCGGAUCAAGAAGCCCAUCAAGACCAAGUUCCGCCUGCCCGUCUUCAACUGGACGGCGCUGAAGCCCAACCAGAUCAGCGGGACGGUGUUCAGCGAGCUGGACGACGAGCGGGUGCUGGAGGACCUCGACCUGGAGCGCUUCGAGGAGCUCUUCAAGACCAAGGCGCAGGGGCCGGCGCUCGAGCUCGUCUGCGCCAAGAACAAGGCGUCGCACAAGGGCGCCAGCAAGGUGACGCUGCUCGAGGCCAACCGGGCCAAGAACCUGGCCAUCACCCUGCGCAAGGCCGGCCGCAGCGCCGAGGAGAUCUGCAGGGCCAUCCACACGUUCGACCUGGCCACGCUGCCGGUGGACUUCGUGGAGUGCCUGAUGCGGUUCGUGCCCACGGAGGCGGAGGCGAAGGCGCUGCGGCAGUACGAGCGCGAGCGCAAGCCGCUGGAGGAGCUGGCGGCCGAGGACCGCUUCAUGCUGCAGUUCAGCAAGGUGGAGCGGCUGCCCCAGCGCAUGGCCGUCAUGGCCUUCCUGGGCAACUUCGCCGAAAACCUCCAGAUGCUGACGCCGCAGCUCAACGCCAUCAUCGCCGCCUCGGCCUCCGUCAAGUCCUCCCAGAAGCUGAAGCAGAUGCUGGAAAUCAUCCUGGCGCUGGGUAACUACAUGAACAGCAGCAAACGCGGCGCCGUCUACGGCUUCAAGCUGCAGAGCCUGGACCUGCUGCUGGACACCAAGUCGACGGAUCGCAAGAUGACGCUGCUGCAUUUUAUCGCGCUGACGGUGCGGGAGAAGUACCCCGAGCUGGCGACCUUCUGGCAGGAGCUGCACUUCGUGGAGAAGGCGGCCGCAGUGUCCCUGGAGAACGUGCUGCUGGACGUGAAGGAGCUGGGCCGGGGCAUGGAGCUGCUGCGGCGCGAGUGCGGGCUGCACGAGAGCGCCGUGCUGCGCGCCUUCCUGGCCGCCGGCGAGGGCAAGCUGGAGCGGCUGCAGAAGGACGCGCGGACCGCCGAGGACGCCUACAACACGGUGGUGCGGUAUUUCGGCGAGAGCCCCAAGACGACCCCCCCGUCCGUCUUCUUCCCCGUCUUCGUCCGAUUCAUCCGCUCCUACAAGGACGCGGAGCAGGAGAACGAGACGCGGAAGAAGCAGGAGGAGGUGAUGCGGGAGAAGAUGCUGGCGCAGGAGGCCAAGAAGCUGGAGAAGCGGAACAAGUGGCAGCAGCAGGAGCUGAUCGCGGAGCUGCGGCGCCGGCAGGCCAAGGACCACCGCCCCGUCUACGAGGGCAAAGACGGCACCAUCGAGGACAUCAUCACCGCGCUGAAGAGCGUCCCCUUCACGGCCCGCACCGCCAAGCGGGGCUCGCGCUUCUUCUGCGACCCGUCCCACCACGACGAGUCCAACUGUUAGCCCCGAGGUAGGGCCGGCCCCGUGCAUGCCGCCUGCCGCCCCCUCCCGCAUGCACCCUGCCCGCCCCUGCCCCCCCCCCCCCACGCGCCGGCGCCCCGGGGCGCCCCACAGCCCCGCGCCCGCCGGCACGGCGUACUGGCACGACGCUGGCUCCCAGCACGGGCACCCGGCGCAGAACUGGGUCCUGGUGCGGUGCUGGGUCCCAGCACGGCGUCCUGCUGCAGUCUGGGCUUCCCGCAUGGAUUCCUGGUGCAGAGCUGGGUGCUGGAGCAAUUCGGGCUGCAGCAUGGGGUCCUGGUGCAGAGCUGGGUCCUGGUGCAGAGCUGGGUCCUGGUGCAGUGCUGGGUCCUGGUGCAAUUCGGGCUGCAGCGUGGGGUCCUGGUGCAGAGCUGGGUCCUGGUGCAGUGCUGGGUACUGGAGCAAUUCGGACUGCAGCAUGGGGUCCUGGUGCAGAGCUGGGUCCUGGUGCAGAGCUGGGUGCUGGUGCAGUGCUGGGUGCUCGAGCAAUUCGGGCUGCAGCGUGGGGUCCUGGUGCAGAGCUGGGUCCUGGUGCAGAGCUGGGUGCUGGAGCAAUUCGGGCUCCCAGCACGGGGUCCUGGUGCAGAGCUGGGUCCCGGUGCAGAGCUGGGUCCUGGUGCAGAGCUGGGUGCUGGAGCAACUUGGGCUGCAGCGUGGGGUCCUGGUGCAGAGCUGGGUCCUGGUGCAGAGCUGGGUGCUGGAGCAAUUCAGGCUGCAGCGUGGGGUCCUGGUGCAGAGCUGGGUCCCGGUGCAGAGCUGGGUGCUGGAGCAAUUCGGGCUGCAGCGUGGGGUCCUGGUGCAGUGCUGGGUCCUGGUGCAAUUCAGGCUGCAGCGUGGGGUCCUGGUGCAGAGCUGGGUCCCGGUGCAGAGCUGGGUCCUGGAGCAAUUCGGGCUCCCAGCGUGGGGUCCUGGUGCAGUGCUGGGUCCUGGUGCAGAGCUGGGUCCUGGUGCAGAGCUGGGUUCUAGAGUAAUUCGGGCUGCAGCGUGGGGUCCUGGUGCAGAGCUGGGUCCUGGUGCAGAGCUGGGUGCUGGAGCAAUUUGGGCUGCAGCGUGGGGUCCUGGUGCAGAGCUGGGUCCUGGUGCAAUUCGGGCUGCAGCGUGGGGUCCUGGUGCAGAGCUGGGUCCUGGUGCAGAGCUGGGUCCUGGUGCAAUUCGGACUGCAGCCUGGGGUCCUGGUGCAGAGCUGGGUGCUGGAGCAAUUCGGGCUCCCAGCGUGCGGUCCUGGUGCAGAGCUGGGCCCCAACAUGGGGGUCCUGAUGCGAUGCAGAGACCCAGCAUGGACUCUUGGUGCAAUUUGGGCUCCCAGCGUGGGGUCCUGGUGCAGUGCCGGGUCCCAGUUUGGGAUCCGAGGAGCGGACAAACGGCACCGAGCUGCCCGCGGCGCUGGGGACGCGCUCGGCCCCGCCGCGCCGCCCGCCUCUAGCCGUCCCCGCGCCGCCCGCCCCGGCCCCGCGGGCUCGGCGACGGCGGCCCCCCGGCCCGGAGCGACUCGCGGCCCCGGCGGCGCCCGAACCUUCCUGCGGCGGAGGCCGGAUCCGAAACCGGCAGCCGGCGGCAGGGAAACGUCUGCGGGAGCAGCCGGGCUCAGCCCGAGCCCCCGCUCGGCACUUUGACCACUGAUGUGAACACUAAUUGCCAAAAAGAAGAAAAAGGGACCAAAGCCGGGGCGGGGAGGGGGUGCGGCAGGGCGGCCGCCUGCCCCGGCCCCCUCCCCGGCCCCCCGGCCCCCCGCCGCGGUCGCAGCGAGGGGUAACGUUUUGUACAUGGGAAAUACACGGAGUCUUUUACGCA